UGGGGAAUAUUGCACAAUGGAGGGAACUCUGAUGCAGCGACGCCGCGUGAGUGAUGAAGGACUUCGUUUCGUAAAACUCUGUUCUAUGGGAAGAAAAGGACUGUACCAUAGGAGAAAGCUCCGGCUAAAUACGUGCCAGCAGCCGCGGUAAUACGUAUGGAGCGAGCGUUGUCCGGAAUUAUUGGGCGUAAAGGGUGCGCAGGCGGCUUUACAAGUUGGAUGUGAAAUAUUGUGGCUCAACCACAAACGUGCAUCCAAAACUGCAAAGCUUGAGUUAAGGAGAGGUAAGUGGAAUUCCUGGUGGAGCGGUGGAAUGCGUAGAUAUCAGGAGGAAUACCGGCGGCGAAGGCGACUUACUGGAAUUAAACUGACGCUCAGGCACGAAAGCGUGGGGAGCAAACAGG
rnacentral:rRNA from 1 species